CAAACAAGCAGACAAAAAUUCUUGCGUCUACAACAAUUAAGCCUCAAAACUCCUUUCUUAGGCAUGUUUGAUUUAAUGAUGCAAUUUCGCAUACAAAUUACAAAGAUCUUCGAUAUAUAAGACAGUAGUUGAUCCAAGUUAAAAUCAUACUUGAAUCGACAUUCAGUCAACUCAGUCAAACAAACAAACAAAUCUAAUCAUGAAGGUCUUCAUUUUCUUCGCUCUCUUCUGCUUGGCCGUUGCAUCAGCUUCAGUCAUUGGACCACUUGGAUUGGGCCCCGUUGCUGUUUCUCCAUUGGGUGUUCCACUAGGUGCUCACAGUGUUGUUGUUGGUGGAUUGGGAGUUCCCGGACUUAUUCAUCCAGGACUUGUUGGAGGCGUCAAAAUAAUUGGUUAAACCAAUUUAUAGAAAAAACGCAUGACCCUUCUUAUAAACUGCCGACAAAAUGUUUUUAGUUUUACUUUUCGCAUAAAUAAAUUCUUCAUUUUCCCUUAAAAA